rnacentral:rRNA from 1 species
GUGGGGAAUAUUGGACAAUGGGCGAAAGCCUGAUCCAGCCAUGCCGCGUGUGUGAUGAAGGCCUUAGGGUUGUAAAGCACUUUUGUCCGGGAAGAUAAUGACUGUACCGGAAGAAUAAGCCCCGGCUAACUUCGUGCCAGCAGCCGCGGUAAUACGAAGGGGGCUAGCGUUGCUCGGAAUCACUGGGCGUAAAGGGCGCGUAGGCGGACUCUUAAGUCGGGGGUGAAAGCCCAGGGCUCAACCCUGGAAUUGCCUUCGAUACUGAGAGUCUUGAGUUCGGAAGAGGUUGGUGGAACUGCGAGUGUAGAGGUGAAAUUCGUAGAUAUUCGCAAGAACACCAGUGGCGAAGGCGGCCAACUGGUCCGAUACUGACGCUGAGGCGCGAAAGCGUGGGGAGCAAACAGGAUUAGAUACCCCGGUAGUCC